ACUCAUCGUUUUUCCUUUUCAGAUUUUUAUAAUUUUGUGAGUGAUAGCACUUCCUGUCCACUGCAUGUGUCUUAAUACUCCUAAUAAAAGCCCGGAAUGUUGAACUUUGAAUGCUAAAGCUAACAACAUACUUGACCAUUUGUUUUCGAUGACCAAACUGCUCUGCCAGCAAUACUCAGCCACUGGUUAAACUGCAAGUUGUGUACCAUUUUGUUGUGUUCAGUAAAAUAUAACCUAAUGAUUUUGGAUUCAAUUUUUGCAGGAGCGACAAGAUGCAAUGUAUAAGAUGGUUGAGGAAAAGGUCGAUCUUAUCUUGGUUGUUGGUGGGUGGAACUCGAGCAAUACCUCACACCUUCAAGAGAUUGCAGAAGACCGUGGAAUACCCUCAUACUGGAUCGAUAGUGAGAAGAGAAUAGGUCCCGGAAACAAAAUAGCAUAUAAAUUGAUGGUAUGUGUGAACAUAUUGAAUUUUACUUGCAUCAACAGAGUAAUUUUCAAGUUUCAAAGUUUCUUUAUUAAUUAUCUGCGCUUCGUUAUCUUGUAAAUAGCAUGGUGAGCUGGUGGAGAAAGAAAAUUGGCUACCGAAAGGCCAGAUCACAAUCGGUAUAACAUCCGGUGCCUCCACCCCAGAUAAGGUAAUUUCUUCUGCAUAAAAUUUCUAAAUAGAUUCUUGCUUACCUUGAUUUUAUUUUUUUCAUUCUUGACUUCUAAUUUACCAUGCCAUAACUAAUUACAUCAUUUUCAUCCCUCCACCCCAGAUAAGGUAAUUUCUUCUGCAUAAAAUUUCUAAAUAGAUUCUUGCUUACCUUGAUUUUAUUUUUUCAUUCUUGACUUCUAAUUUACCAUGCCAUAACUAAUUACAUCAUUUUCAUCCGCUGGUGGUGAAUUUUAUAGGCUGUUUGAUAAGAUUGUUAUAAUUUUCCUCUGUGUUUUAUCCAGGCUGUUGAAGACGUCCUUAAAAAGGUGUUCGAGAUCAAGCGUGAAGAAGCCUUGCAAUUAGCGUAAACUGAGGUCCAAACAUACACAUUAUCAAUAAAUUUCGAUGUGAUUGUAUCACUAGAUAUUGUAAAAUUAUAAACACAGCCCUCUGCCGGGUCUUUUAUCAGUGCCCAUGUAAUCUGAAAUUUAUAUUUUUUGUGUAAUAUGAAGCUAGAGAUUGCAAUUUCUAACCAGCAGGAUAUUUAUUGUAAAACUCCAAUGAAAUCACAGACAAGAUUGGACAAUUACUGUCUUGUUGAACAAAAGGAGAGUAAAAAGAAUAGCACGCUUCAGAACAAAAGGAGAGGAAAAAGAGUAGCACGCUUCAUUGAAAAAUUAAGCAUGCCUCCUGUAUCAAUCAAUUGAAAGAAUUUUGUGUACCAACGUCAUCCCCCUGCAGUAAACCUCCUGAUUUGAAUCAUCAAUGAUUUGUGUUUCUUCUGGUAAUGAAAUUCAUCAAUCAUCUACUUUUAACUUUUAUUCAAGUAGUUGCGGAUCUGGAGGACCCUCCAUCGUUUUCAGACGAUCCUCAGCUUCCAAAGCCUGGCAUCAUUUAACAAGUUUAUCAACAGAUUAACUUUGAUUAAAAUUCAGAAGCUAAUGUCAUUCUUGGUACUGAGUCCUGCAGAAUUGUACAUUGAAUUACAGAACCUUAGAGCUUUUGUAAGAGAAACUUAAUUUACCUCUUUCUGCCAGUUAGUUUGAAGCAUCCGAAUCACAAGAACAGUUGUUUGAAAUAGGCAACCGAGCAACAAUCCUGACCAUAUGCCAUUGAUGCCAAGUUUAAAUCCGUAGCCCAGCAAGGCACCGACAGGAAGUCCGAAGACAUAAUAACACGCUAUGCUUAUCAAUGCAACUAAAAACUGCCAGCCUGCGCCUACGGCCACCCCUGCAAUGUUAAAGAUUUUACGCAAAUAUGAUUUUAGACGCAAAUCUUGUGCAAGAUUUUUCUGAACUGAAAUGCUUAGACUGAGAAUCUGUCGAGCGUAGUAGCAGUUACCAAGGAGAACCGCUUGGAUGCUGUUGAGGAAGAUUGUUGCAGCUAGAAAAUAUGCAAGCUUUGACGUCUCCCUUAUGAGAAUUGGUUUGUCUGUGAACAAUUUGGGAAACUGGUUCUCGAAUGCCAGAACCAAAAGAGUAAAUAAAAUUCCAAAUGCUGCAGAUGUUAUUACUGACACCGCGAUUGAGAAUUUUGCAGCUUUUGGAUGUCCAGCUCCAAGUUCAUUAGACACCCGCACGCUUCAAGAGAAAUCAGGAUGUACUUUAAUGAAAGCAGCUAGAUAAAUACAUAAGAGAAUGGAUGAUAAAGUUAUGCCUUCUUUUGGGUAACAAAUUACGCACAUUCUCAUGCCUUCAAUGAUUUCAAUCGCAAAACUCCUUUCUAAAACAAUGGAAUCAAAUUUUCUUCUACUACUCAAUUGUCAUUUGUUCUACGGUGUCAUUCAGUUAAAAAGUUAUAAAUCACUUAAAAUUAUUCCAAAGAAGCAGUGACUGACCUUAUUGCUGUAUGGAAACCUAAACUUAUCAUCAAAGUCCAUUGUUGCAAGUUCAUGCUGCCAAUUCAAACCAUGAGGAGGAAAAAUGAAAGAGGAUUUAGCAGGCUUAAUACAUAGAAACAUAAGAAAACUCACCAAAUCGAAAUGGCAUCUACUGCAAUUUCUGGAUUGUUUAGCCAUCCUACCAUGAGAAUAACUGCUGUGUAAUACCAAAGCUCCAAGCUGUUUGCACAAACAUGUUGUGUGUGUCAUGUCAAUAACGUGGAAUAUCCUAAAGCUCACUAAAUAACUCAAUUCGAAUCAUUAAUUACCAUAACAUUACAGCUGAUGCAAGUGAGAGUUUCACAAAACUAGCCAAUGACUUGAAAGCCCUCAAAGAAAAGCCUGUCCAAGCAUCUGGGAAACAUCCAGAAGUUACAUAGACUACUAGUCCCACGACCAUAAGCCACAAAGAAAUAUCCCCAGCAAUGGCUGCACCAACAAUUCCGUAAUUGAGCUUUGCCACCAGAAUCCAAUUUAAAAACACAUGAAAUAUCAAUGCUGCCAUCGAAAUCAUAGUCAUGACCCAAACUCUGCUUUGCGAUUGCAGAAAUUUCUGUAUUGGAGAGUUUAUAGCAUAAGCAAACAGUUGCGGAACUAUCCAUUUAGAAUACUUCCCUGCAAGCUCUGAAAUUUCCUUGUCUUGGCUUAGAAGCUUUAAAAAUGGCGUUGCAAAGAUAUAAAAAGGCAUUAGGCACAAAGCUGUGGCGCCGGUAACAAUGAAUGAUCUUUGCAAAUAAAUUCCAAGCAUAUCAAAUCGUCCAGCACCGACAGCCUGACCAGAUAGGGUCUCCAGAGCACUGCCCAUCCCCAGCUAAUUAACACAAAUUACACCCAAAAACAGAACAAUACCGAAAUCAGUUCAAAUUCAAAUGAAAUUUACCAUUUCUUAGAACAGAGUAUUAGCUUUCUAGCAAUCAAUUCUUCAGUUGAUAACCUUUCAAUCUCACAUUUCAUCUCAAGUAUGACUAUCAAUCAAAAUUAUUACUACAAUUUGUCAGAAUUUUUAGAUAUUACAAUCCUGAGUCUAUUAGGAGUCUGAAUUCAUACAUUUCUAUCACAACCCAAGAGCAUAGAUCAAAAUCUACACCAACUAGUGGCCAGACCUUUAUCUCAUACCAACACAGACAUAUAAACACCACUUAUCUAUCACAAUUCACACUCUCAUUACAAGUUUUACAUUCAAUGUUAUAAGUACAAGAUUUCACAGAACAUGUGUGACGAGACGAGUGUUGUAAGUUUUACUUCAUACGCAUUCACAUCGCCCCAAAAAAAAGGGAAAAAAAAAUCAUCAAUACAGAAUUUGAAGUAAAUGAUUAGCUACUCACCAUGAUUCCAUAAACAAAGCCUUCAAUGACAUUUUGAACAACGGAGACGGCUGCAAAUUCAACUUCACCCAAAUGACCAACAAAGGCAGCGGUAACGAAGGUGAUAGAGAAUUCAGAUCCUGAGGCUAAAAUCACGGGGCCAGCAAUUUCCCAUAUCUUCUUUGAUUCAUUCCAGCUUCUUUCUCUGAAGUUUUUGUGACUGCCCAAGUCAUCAUCUUGUUCCCUUGUCUUUGUCUCUAUCUCAAAUGUCUGGCUCUUCUCCGCCAUUAAUGCUGCUGUCUCUUCCUCUGUUUCUUCCAUCAAACACCUCUCACCCUCGCUCACAGCCUGUAGUCUUUCUUUUAAUGAGUGUAAGGAUUUGUUUGCAGCUAUUAUUUGUGUGAAGAGUUUAAUAAACACACGUACGUUGCAUGCGCAACUUCCUCAUUUGUACAUUUUUUUCACAAUGAUUUUAAUUUUUAUUCCACAUAUACAAAGGGAGAUUGCUAAUUUCCACUAUUGUUCUUAGGGAAAUGGAUAAACACACCUCCAAGGUUUAGGUAAAGGGAUAAAAAUUCUUCUAACGUUUCAAAAAAGAUAUUUACACCCCAAUUUAUUAUAAUUUUACCAUUAUACCCUUCUAACAUGUAAAAAAAAUUAUUAGAUUAUUCAAUUUGUCUAUAUAUUGUUAAUAAAACUAUAAAUAAACAAGUUGGAUAUUAUAAAAAAAUUAUAAAUAUACCCUCAUUGCCCAAUUUCUCUAUUUAAAUUUUUAUCAAUAACCAUUUUUUUUAAAUCUAUACACCUAAAAAAAUUGUAAAUAAAUUAUAAUUUUAAAAAUAAAAUUGGUUAUUAAUAACCAAUUUUAUUUAAACUUUAAACUUGUAUAUUUAACAAUUCUCCACAUAUCAAUAAUUUAAACUUGUAUAUUUAUAACUAAUUUUCUAUGUUAUUUAUUAUGGUAUUAAUAACCAAUUUUAUUUACAAUUUUUUUUAAGUGUGUAGAUGUCUUUUUUGAAAAUUGGUUAUUGAUAAAAAUUUAAAUAGAAGAAUGAGGUAAUGAGGGUAUAUUUAUAAUUUUAUUAACAAUAUAUAGACAAAUUGGAUAAUCUAAUAAUUUUUUUUUAUAUCCUAGAAGGGUAUAAUGGUAAAAUUAUAAUAAAUUGGGGCGUACAUGUAUUUUUCGAAACGUUAAGGGGGUUUUUUGUCCCUUUGUCUAAACGUUGGGGGUGUGUUUGUCCUUUUCCCUUGUUCUUAUUUUUAAAUACACUUUUAUUUAUAUUUAUUAUAAAUUAAAUAAAUCACAAGAAUGGAAAUGAAAAUAAAAAAAUUAAGUAUUAAAAAUAAGAAAUAUAUGUUUUGAUGUAAAAAAAUUAAUAAUAAAAUAUUUUUCUUGUACUUUUUACAUUCAAUUUUAAAAUAUUAUAAAAUAUUUAUUAUAAGAAAAUAUUUACAAAAUAAAAAAGUACGAGAAAAAGUUUAUUAUUAAUUUUUUUGGUUCAUAACAAAAUAUAGAUUUCUUACUUUUAAUACUUAAUUUUUUAUUUUAAUUUCCAUUUAUGUGAUUUAUUUAAUAUAUAAUAAAUACAAAAAAGUGUAUUUAAAAAUAAAGAUAAUAUUGUAAAUUUAUACUGUCAGGGAAUUAUUGGUUAUUAUAAAAAUAAUAGGGGUAAAUGAUAUAUAUUAAUUACAAUAUGAGAAAAUUUGACAAAUUUUCUAUAUACAAAUGUAUAAAGUUAUUUGCCCCUAACUAGCCCUCAAAUUAUAAUUAUUUUGAUUUCGUAAUCCAUAUUUUCCAAGUAGAGUCUCACGAAAUCUUUCAUCUUUAUCUUCAAUUACUUAUGAAAACAACUUAAAUUUAUUAUGACCAUUUUUCAUUGGCUGUCCACAAAUUCUAUUAUCAAGAAUCGUGGCCCAGCUAAAUAAUUUUGUUUGGUUAACCGUUUUAGUUUAAAUCCUACAAAAAAUUGAUUUAGACAUAGCUCACACUUCGAUUCUUUUGAAAAAUUAAAUUGUUAGUGAGUAAAACUAUAUUGAGUAAUGAUACAGCCAUAAACUCUUGUACAAACUUAUUUUGUAUAAACUGAUGUGGCAUGAUAAGAUUGGUUGAAUUAAAUAUCACUUGGCCCACAUGAUUUGUUUUUAUUAAUUUAUAUUUUCAUUCAACCAAUCUUAUCAUGCCACAUCAGUUUGUACAAAAUAAGUUUGUACAAGAGUUUGUGGCUGUAUCAUUACUCAACUAUAUUAGGAGUAAAAUUAUAAAUAUAUAUAAUCAAUAAAAUUAUUUAAAAAUCAUCUAGUUAAAUUAUUUGGGACCACUAUACCUUAAUUAAUAAAUGUAAUCUAAUUUUAAAUUUAUAUCUUAAAAUGUGCGUACGUUUAAUAAACAUAUUUGGAGGUGUUCGUGAAAAGAUGGUUGGUAGAAAUUUAUCAAGGACAAUGACAGGUAGCUAUAAGUUGGUAUUAAUAAAAGCUCUCCUUGAUUUGAAAAUUCAAACUUGGUAAGCUGUGAAUUCAAUUUUAUAACAAACAGUGAAUUUAAGCCUGUACUUGAAAUCGGUUGGUUACUUUCUUUUUCGGUGCAACAUUGUUGGAUACAGUGCUUUUCUAAGCUAAUAUCCACUUCUCAUUGUCAAACCUUAAGUUUUUAUUUUAAUUUUAUUUUAAAUUUUUUUAAUGUUUUCGUUCCUCUAUUACCCAGCAUAAAAAAAGAUGUGAGAAUGUCAAUUGAAAACUUAAGGUAUCAAGAAUGAAAAAUUUUAAAAGCAAAAGUUAUUUCAACAGAGAAUGAGAGAUGGCUGAAGCAUUUUUUUUCAAGUCUUGGCCAACUGUUAUUUGAUUCAUUGUAACAUAGUGGGAUUGCCCUUAUGAAAUUGUUACUCAAGUUGGUGAUGAAGGAAUAAUCAUGAUAAGAAUAAAGCAAAAAGAGAAAUGUAAUCAUAAAGAAUGGUAUAGUAUUCUAUUAAUCUUUCUUGUCAUUGAAGUUCAAAGAAUAAUGUAUGGUCAGUAUAAUAUUUUAUGAAUAAUAAUAAAGCUGGAAAUAAGGAAUACAAAUCAUAUAAUCUCAACACUAGGAUUUUUGAACUCAUAAACAACAAGAUAUUUGAUGCUUGCAAGUAUAAUUUCAACUCCUCUGUCAUGCUGUUGAUUCUGCUGAUGAAUUGAGUUGCGAUCGCAGUGCUUCUUGCUUGUUUCUCAUAGAACCAAUAAUGAAUUAUACUCCCAGAAAUCGUAAUUUCACCUGUGCAUGAAACAAGAAACUGAUGCAAGUUGUGACCAUUAGAGCACCAAAACCAGCAUACACGAUCGGUACUGAAGGGUCAGUCUGAAAGCAACCAACAAGGAUUAAUUCUAGUGUAAUUAAUUUAUAAAAUAGAUACAAUUACAAAUUGUAUUGUAUGCAUUAAAUUAAAGUUAACUUCAGGUCAAGACCAGUACUCCCGAUAGCAUCUACAACAACAAUUUUUGUGCCAUCAAUGUCAAUUACAAGCUUAGAGUUAGGUCGUCUGACUCCUGCAAAUUUCCCUUCUUGUUCAUAUAUGACUAAUGAUUGCAGAUCACGAGCAAGCAUUGAUCUAAAAUUAAACAAGAUGGAAGAACAAACUACGCGCUUACUGAACUUCCAAAAUCUUAGAGGAAAGAAAAGUAAGUACUGAAUUCUUGCCUAAAAUGUAAGUGUGAAAGAAAUACAUACCUUCCCUCGAUAUUAGGAGAAUUAACAUUUCCAAGAGGUAAGAAAGUCCCAAACAGCUUUUUGUCUCCAUCGACUUUUAGAGGUGCCAUUGCCAAAUUGAAAGGUCCUUCAUCAUUCUUGAGUACCUGCAGUGCCGAAAAACUCCAAACUGUCUGAUAUAUCGUGAUCCCACCAUACCUUGAAGGGGAAAUAACACUUAUUGUUUUCUUCAUCACCUCCUUCCCCUCAAUGUCAAAUAGAGAAAGAUCACUGUGAAACUGCUUCAUCAGUAAACCGGAAGAAAAACUUAAAAUGAAAGUAAAACAUCACAUUUGAACCAAAGAAUUUUUGGAGUUUCACAAGAAAGAUAAAAAAAAAGAAAUGAUAGUUAGCAGCAAAUCUUUAUGAAGAUCUUGAUCAGACCAUGCUUAUAAUGCACAAUGCGUACCUAGAACUCCUUAUAAGGUCCCCCUUCCUUUAUGCUAGUUACUAGACAAGAAAAAGGAAACUUACCUCUCCACUAUCGUAGUAAUCCAUGUAGAAUUUAUUGACAUGAACCUCAGUGCUGAAAGCAUCAGUAGGAGUAGAAAGAAAUCCAUUUGGGCCUAACACUCACCCACGACAAAAUUCAGCACUUCUGGAAUCGUAACGGAACUCCUGAAGCUCCCAAUUGCACUAGGAGUUCCACCUACCAUUGUCAGCAGCAUCGCCAAAUGUACUCCAAUAGGGGCAAAACCGACCAACGAGUGCUUUAAAGGCAUACAAGGACGGUCCUUUCAAGAGUACCUGUAAUCGCAAAAGGCAAGCAUAAUCAGCAGGAAAUCUUGCAUAUAAUGCAGCAAUGUACGAGGAACAAAAAUGAUAUGAGUGCUUAUUAUUUAAAAAAAAAAAAGUUACAGUCAAUGCACUAUGCAUUUAAGUGAGACAUUAGGACCCAUGGUGAAUAAUAUAAUUGAUUUUGUUCAAACAUAAAUUGGUCUAUCAUGAUGACUGCUGGUACCUAAAAUAAGUUUGUCAGUACCUGUUGAUGACUCAAAUACUAUUUAAUCUCCAAGGAACUUAGACUUUACAAGUAUUAACAAGUGAAAUCUCAAUUUCAUGAGUGUCAACGAAUAAUGCUGUUAAAAGAGCAAGUCUACCCAGAAAAAGAACAUCAAAUAUUAUUUUUGCACUGAAUUGGUCUAUACAUAAAAAGUUUGGCAACUAAGACAAUUUUAAGUUUUAAAGAGUAAGAACAGAUGAAAGAAAACAAAAUAAGAAAGGAUGCAAAAUGAUAACCUCAUAUCCUGCACCCAUUAGAAUAACACCGAAAAGUAAGAAAGGAUGCAAAAUGAUAACCUCAUAUCCUGCAUCCAUUAGAAUAACACCCAAAUCUUGAAGAGAUGGUCUCGGAAGAGUACUUGAAAAUUCCUACUUUUCAGAUUGCCUCGGUAGAAUGUAAAAAACUCUAUCCGCAUAAAUUACAGAGUUGUGUCAACGGAAAGCUUAUCCAAAUCAUUUCCAUUGUAGCAAAGGAUUUUGGUAGAAUAACCAGACCUUUUUGCAACCUUAAUCAGGGUGAUUUGUGUAAUGUAACUGCAGGCCAUGAGUGAUAAUCCCAUUAUUUUGCCUCAAGAGAUAGAAUUCAACGGAUCAAAACCUGCGUAGGAUAGCUAGGUCUUAACCUUUGAACAUUCUCUUGUGAAAUAUAUUUACUUUACUAACUAAUUAGUAGAUGCGAUGUCUUUGAACUAUCCCGUCGUUUAUGUAAAUAAUAGUAUAUUUCAUACAUAAAUUUUUCCUAAUACUUUUGAGUUCUCAUGGUUACGUUCAUUUUGGUGAUGAACAUCUACUUGGUUCCACAAGAAUUUAUAAGAAUUGAGCCAUAAACAAUUCCCUUUGAAGUCGCCUCACUUCUCUCUUAUAUUUGUGAUUUUUUAAAUCAAAAGUAGCCUUUACUUUGCUUGGAUUUCCAACACAUAAGAAGCCAUUAAAAGGAUAGCAUACCUUUUCUUUCUACAGGCAUCAUUAUUUUCAUCAUAGGGAUGGACAUGAGGCUAAUCCCUGCAGUGAUCCAACAAGGUAUUUUAUAAUUAAAUUGUCCCUUUGAACCUAGUUCUCGGUAUCUCCAGUCAGUUAAGUUGGGUUUUCUUUCAUAAAAUAAACAUUUUAUUCUUCAGGCUUUAGUCUCAUUCCCCUCAAUGUUUUUUUCUACUAACUAUCUAUUUAACACUUUGGUUAGUGGAUCUGCAAUGUUAUCCUUUGACUUUAUAUAGUCAAUAGAAAUAACUCUAGUAUAGAGUAGUUAUCUAAUGGUGUUAUGUCUAUGACGUAUAUAUCUAGACUUAUCGUUAUACAUAUUGCUACGUUCCCUUCCAAUUAUGGAUUAACUAUCACAAUAUAUGCAAAUUGCUGGUACAAAUUUUACCCGUUUGGAAUAUCAUUUAAAAAAUUCCCUAGCCAUUCUGCCUCUUUACCACAUUUUUCUAAUGCGAUGAAUUCAUAUUCCAUUAUUGACUUGGCUAUCAUUGUUUAUUUGGAUGAUUUUCAUGAAACGACAACACCUGCUAGUUUAAACACGUAGCCACUGGUAGACUUUGAGUCUUUUACAUCAAAUAUCCAGUUUGCAUCAUUGUACCCUUCUAGUAUAGCUAGAUAAUAGUAUAAUGUAGCUCAUAUUUACGAGUAUAGUGUAAGCAUAUGAGUACUCUUACUAUAGCUUUCCAGUGAUCGGCAAUUGGAUUACUCAUAUAGCUAGUAAGUUUGCUUACUGUAUAAACUAAGUUUGGCCUUAUACAACUUGUUAGGUACAUCAGACUGUUUAUCACUCUACAUUCUUCCACUUGAGAGAACCUUCACCUCUAUUCGUAGAUAGAUGCAAACUUGUAUCCAGAGGUGUUCUUGGCCCAACAUAAUCUUCUUUGUUGAAUUUUCUAAGAAUUUUAUCCAUAUAAUGUGAUUGAUUCAGAAUAAGUUUUUUAGACGUCUUUCAAAUUUUUAUUCCCAAAAUGACAUUUGCUAGAGCCGUGUUUUUCAUGUCAAAACUAGACUUCAACAUAUUAUUGGUAAAUAUGAUCAUUUUGUCAUCACUCCCAACAAUUAACAUUUCAUCAACGUAAAGACAUAAAAUGACAUAGCCAUUUUCUACCUUUUUGAUGUAUAUAUAUAUAUAUAUAUAUAUAUAUAUAUAUAUAUAUAUAUAUAUACAUACAUUAUAAAUGUUCAAAUCUAGAAUUUUAAAGUGUAGGAACGUCCGAGAAAAUAUAUAAAUCGUACGGUUUAAGCGCUUUAUUUCAUAUAUAUAUAUAUAUAUAUAUAAAAUGAGCCUCUUGUUCACUAUCUUGAAUUUCUUCUUGUUCUUGGUCCUCACUAUCUUCGUUGAUAGCCUCAUGUGUUUGUUUAAUCAAACUUGAAUCUUUCUUGAAUUUACAUGGAAACACAUGCUCAAAGAAUGAUGCAAUUUUGGAUUUUAUUAUUGUAUUCUUAUAAAUAUCUAGUGUGAUAUGCACUACUAUUAUGUGAAUAACUUAUGAAAAUGCAAUCAACAGUCUUUAUUUAUGUCUUUUUUUCUCUUUUUAUGAAGGAAUGACAACUUUAGCAAGACACCCCUACACUUGCAAGUAUUUGUAGGAAAAUACUCUACUCUUCUAUAGUUCAUACGAGUCUUUUUUGCUUCUUUUUAGGGUACCUUUUUAAAAGGAUAAAACAACUUCUCCCCACAUAUUCUUAGGUAUCCCAAAACUUAUUAAUAUUGCAUUCAUAAUUUUUUUGAAGGUAUGAUUUUUUCGUUUAGUAAUCUCAUUAAAUUAAGGCGACUAAGGAGCUGUAGUUUGAUGUAUGAUUCCAUAUUACUCAGAAAGUGACUUAAAUAGAAUAAUAUACUCACCACCUCUAUCAAUUCUCAACUCCUUAAUUUCCUUAUAUAGUUUAUUCUCAACUUCAUUUUUAUAGAGCAUAAAUUUCUCUAUAGCUUUGUUCUUGCUUUUUAUAUAUAGGUAAUAAAAUAUUUAUUACCGCACCUCGAUUCUAUGGAUUUAAAAUCAUAAUCACUAUGUAUUAAGCCAAGUUUCAAUUCCUUGAAAUGAUAACCUUAUUCAUUUUGUUUCAAUAGAAAAGUCACACUUAUGUUUCGUACCAAUUCGGAAAGUGGGUAUAUGAUUCAUGUUAAUUAACUUAUGCAAGGCAUUAUAAUUAACAUAUCCUAAUCUAUCAUGCCAUAAAUUAGAAAACUCAAGAAAAUAAGCAAAAGAAAUAGCUUUAUUAUUCUUUGUUUUUACAACUAUUACAUUCAAUUUGAACAGCCCAUCAAGUACGUAUCAUUUUCCCAUAUACAAUCCAUUUUUAGGCAAAAUUAUUUUAUCUGACUCGAACACCAUUCGGAAUCCAUACUUGUUUAAAAGCAAUCCAGAUACGAGAUUCUUGUGAAUUUCUAGCACGUACAAAACAUUGUUUAGAAUUACCUCUUUUCUAGAAGUCAUCUUUAGAAUCAUUUGUCUUUGACCUUCUAUCUCAAGCGUGGUUGAAUUCUCUAUAUAUAGCUUUUCACCUUUUCUAUUACAUUCAAAGAAAAUAAACAUUUCUUUUAUCUGAGCAUACAUGUCAAAUGGCAACACUGUCAAUCCACUAUCUCUUAGAUUGAAGUGCACCAGAUCUACUUCAAAAACUACUCUAGAAAGAUUAAUGUCUAACAUAUCUUUUGACAUGUCCUCUACCAAAUUAGUUUCUCGAUGUCCCUUUUUCUUUGGCAAUCCACAUUCCAAAGCCUUGUGAUUCAUUUUAUCAUAGUUGAAGCAUUUCCUUUGAAAUUUGGUUUGCUUAUUGGAAAUCCAUCCUUUCGCACCUAGCUUGUUCUUGUUGGCCUUUCUAUUCCUAGUACUUUGACUACAUUCUAUAGCAUUGGCCUUAACCAUAGAAAUGACAAUUUUUUUUUUCAGUUGCUUCUUCAGCUUAAAGUUUGAUAAUUAGAUAUUUAAAAUUCAUUUCCUUUCUCUUAUGCUUUAGAUAACUCUUGAAAUUUUUUCAUGUUGGAGGCAGUGAUAGCAGCCACUUAAAAGUUUCAUUGAAAUCCAUCCCUUUGGGAUAAAUUUCUGCUAGAAUAAUUUGCUUGUCUUGAACUUGAUUUGUAACAAUUUUGAAGCCCAUUAUCUAAUAAUCUAGGAAGCAGCCUAUGACAUGACAAAUUUCUUAGUACUAGCAUCCUCAGUUUAUAUUUUCGCUCUAACGACUCCUAUAGCUCAGUGGCUCUUUUCUUUCCAACAUACACACUAUGUAAAGAAUUGCUCAAAGCCAUUCAACAUAUAAUUUCUACAAAGAAAAUUGGAAUGAUUCCAAGCAUUUAUUGCAGUAAUAAGAAUCUUCCAAGAUUUAAGGUGGUCAAGUAAAAGAAAAUUUUUUAUUGUUACCAUUUGAAGUUCUUUUAGUGAAUUUCUUAGGUUUUUUGCAUGAAGAAUAACUACAGAGACAACAGCACCAGUGCCAACACUAGCACACGAGAUAGUAGGAAGAGGGUCAAAAUUUCUCGUUUGCUAGCCCAUAUUAGUUGCCAUUUCAACAAAUAAAAUCUAUUAUAAGAUUAUUGUGUGUGUUAUUAUUAAUUAGCAAGCAAUAUAAGACUACCCACUUUGUAUGCAAAAAUAUACUAGUUAGGUUCUUAGAAAAAACUAGAGGGAUGAUAGUGGUUCCGCUUAAAAGCCAAACUCCUUGGGUAAUCUAUAUAGCCUUGAUGAUAAAACUUUUCUAAUGUACUUAAGAUUACUAAUAAGUCUCUUACACACCUAUCACAAUUUUAUAAUAUUAAUAAUAAAUUAAAUUUAAAUAGCAAAUAUAUAACAUAUAAAUCAACAAUGCCUAUAAAGAUAUAGUGUCCUUAAAAAAGAUUCGUCACUUUCGCAAUGGCGUUUAAAUUAGAUUGGUGUAUGUGUCCCAAAAUACAAUGGACCUAAAUAGUGUUGACAACAUAACGCCACUAUUCUAGCGAACUUUCAACAAAUAUUUGAAUUCUGUCACACUGAAGUCCAAAACUAGAAAUUAUUUGCUUAAGAGAGAAGAAUAAGAAUCACUUGGAUUUUUGGUGUAUUUUGCAAGUGAACACAAAAGCCAAUAUAUAUAGGUUUCAAAGGACAACUUUAGUUAGUUAAAAUUCAAUGUGGGAUUUUUUUGCAUUUCCCCAAACCAAUAAGUGCUUUUUAAGAUUCAAUUUCUGAUUCACUCAAACACCAAUUUGAGCAUAUAUGAUUUGUUGAAAACUUCACAGAGAAGAUUUCGAAUUAUCCAUGUAACUAUAUUUGUUUAAUAUUUUUUUCUCAAAAUUGGUCUCAGAGUAGCUACCUUGUGCUAUUUUUUCUAACAAAUAUAAGUCCAACUCUGCCCAUUAACCCAUCAGAUUAAUGAGACCUUGCCAUUAAGCCAUCAAAAUGGUGAGGAGACCAGCUCUUCCCAUUAACUUAUCAAAAUAAUGAAGUUAGAGUUUUUCCUCAGAAAUUUCAUGAACUGAUAUCAAGUGUUUUCAAAGAAUCUAGAUUUCUCAAAAGAAGUUAGUAACUCACCCAAAAAUCCAUUACAAAAAAGGUAUAGAUCAUUGAGCUUGGUAAGUUUAACUUCCAAGUGAACAUGGAAUUUUUCCUUAAAAAGAGGAGAAUCUUAUAUCCAAGUAGGAUAAUGAUCCAAUAAUUUAUAUUUAAGGAAUUUUACUUGAAAACUUGGUAAAUGAAAGUCCCAAUCUCCAAGCAAAAUCCCUUUCUGAAAUUCUGGCAAGUAUACAGAGUGAUCUACAUUGAACAUAAGAUCAAGACAUUGAAGGUUGAGCAAUUGAAAAAUCUCUUCAGGAAAUUCACCUUGCAAAGAACAUUCACUGAGAGAUAAGUAAAUCAAAGAAGAUAAAUUUGCCAUUGCUGGAGUAACUGCAGAAGAAAUAUCGAUAUCGAUAAGGUAAAGUGCACUCAUGUUGGUCAACUUCUUAGCUAGAUUUUGUUAGACCUGGCUUUUGGACCUCCAUCUUGGAGAGCUCUAGCAACUCUGUUGGUACUUGACCUAAAAAGAAAGACAGAGAGAGAUCCAGAGAUGUUAGCUUCGAAAGUUUCAGGAUUUGAGAUGGAAUUUUACAUAGAAGGAAUGUAAAAUUGAUAGAACCAUAGAGGCAACUACUAGUGAGUUUAGCAUGAUCACAUGACCAGUGUCCUAAUGAUCACAUUCGAUGCCAUCCCAUGACCAACAGUCAGUAACAUUUCCUUCCUCCUGGCACCAAGAUUCAACCUUGGUAUAAGCUUAAGGAUAAGCAGAAACAAAGUUAUCAAUCACAAGGCUUUGUUUGAAUUGCAAUAAGGCAGAACGCUCAUCAUUACGGCACUGUCGGUGCAAAUGAGCAAGAUAAUAACUAAUAAGAUAAAACAAUGAGAGCAAAACAAUUGCAUGCAUGCAAUUGAAGUGAGAUGAGAAUAACCCCCAUAAUGCUUUUAACACAAUAGGAUAUGAAAGCUUUGAGGAAUUUUCUUUAAAGGCCAUGCAUGGAACUGAGAUGAGGUUUAUAUCGGCAGUUCCAAGUGCAUCUAUUAUCUCCAAGUCAAUCUAGUUUCUUUUUCCACUAAUGUGAGCAGGUAUAAAUUCAAUAUAUUUUGUUUCCACUCAAGAAAUUUUGCCAACUAAAUUAUUGGCACCUAUAUAUAUUUGGGGUGGGUAAAAGGCUGAGCCGAAGCGAAAGUGUUUUAGAUAAAAAAAAAAAAUUAUUUUUAGUAGUAAAAUAUAAAUUUACGAAUGCUUUAUGAUCAGUUAUGUUGCAGUAUAAGCUAGUUCUUAAAAAAAAAAAUAAAUUUAUAGUGUAAUUGAAUACGUGUCAGUUUUGAUAAUUUUUAAGAACAAUAAUAUCGAAUAUGAAUCUUCAUGCAAUUAAAUGUGUUGUAUCAUAAUCAUAAAAAGCGGAAUAUUUAACCCAACAAGAUUCAAACAUUUGAUACGUUAUAAAACAUACUGGCUUUUAACUAAGAGCCGUUGAGAAUGCUAUCAACCGAAAACUCUCUCGACAAGAACAGCCCCCCUCCCCUUGAGGAUGACAGAUCGACUAAGAAAACCAAAUUCAGAGCACAGGGGGAGGAUGGAGAUAACCCAUCUAUGCUAUCCUUUCGAGAUAAGCUCAUGGAACAACAAAGGGGGAUAUUGGAUGCUGAAAUCGGUAGAGAAGAACUCAUAGGGAGGGAAAAGGAUAUUGAAAUCGAAAAGGAGGAUGUGGUCAUUGAACGGGAAGGCUAUUUACCUUCGAUUUCUUUUUCACAAAAAGUCCAUGAGCAACUAAUAAAACCAUGGCAAUCCACUGUGGUGGUGAAACUCCUUGGUCGCAUGAUUGGAUACAAAGCACUUUGCUCACGGCUGGAAAUCUUGUGGCCAAAUAUUGGGGGAUACUCUGUUAUAGAUUUGGACAAUGGCUAUUUUCUCGUUAAGCUCAGGAAGGAAUGCGAUGCUGACUUUGUUCUUACAGAAGGGCCAUGGCUGGUCGCGGGGCAUUACCUGACUGUUCAGCCAUGGUCACCUCAUUUCGACAGCUCGAAUGAAAAGAUUGACAAAAUCACAGCAUGGAUAAGGCUUCCAGGUAUGCCUUUACACUACUACCAUAAAAAAAUCAUUAGAAUGUUGGGGCAUGUCAUUGGAAAGGUUAUCAAAAUUGAUUAUAAUACGGAAUUGGCGACGAGAGGGAAGUUUGCCCGUAUUGCAGUUGAAGUAUCCCUUGGAAGUCCUUUAAUCUCUCAAUUUUUAUUGGAUGGUAGAAUCCAAAGGAUUGAAUAUGAAGCUCUCCCAACAAUAUUCUUUGGAUGUGGAAAGUAUGGACACAUUUCUUCCGCAUGUCCAGAUACUUUGAGGUUGGAAACUAGAGGGGAGAAGGCGAAUGAUAUGGCUCUAGGUGGCAACACCAACGCAAAAUCAGAGGUCUCGCCGGCGGUAGUAAAUCUGGAAAAUCCUAAAUUUGGCCCUUGGAUGAUCGUGGCUAGGAGAGGAAAUUAUAGAGGAAAUAAGGGAAGAAUAGAUGCACAGGAGCCGAAUCAAAACAGCUUUGGAAAACAGAAAAUAGGCUCCAGAUUCAGUGUUUUACAUCAGGAAAAUGGGUUAGAAAAUGAUGCUGGGGUGAGUUCAAACGCGGCUACCACCAUGGACAACCACAAGAAGACCGUUGAUCCGACCAAAGACAAGGACAUGGUGAUAUCACGUGACUCUAAAGGACCCACCCCAACGAAGUCGGCUGGGAGCAAAGGAAAACUCGUGACCAGAAAUGAGAAGACUGACACACCUGAACACACUGCACCCACACCUUUCCGUGAAAUACACACUAGACCUCUCCCCCCCACAAAUGAACCCAGCUCAUCAAAACAACAACCCCUCGAGGCCAUGGAUAGAAAUAUCUCAAGAAACAAAUCUAAGUUAUCUAGAACCCAUCAUUUUGAACCAACUUUAAUCCCAACGUCGCUAGAUCCUAAAUAUCAUUCAGCAAUUAUAUUCAAAAACAACUUUGAAAAUGAGACCUCUCAGCCCCCCCUGUCAAUCCCUCCCAAACCAAACCCAAAUGAGGAGCCUCCUGAUAUAGGAGAUAGAGACAUAGAAAAGGUGGGGAGGGAAUCAUCCGACAGCGAGUAUAUGGAGGAAUCAGAGGAGGAUGAUUCUGAGAACUCAGAAGAGUCUAAAUUUUUCGUUGAGGCGGAUAAUAUGGAGGUUAAUCAGCAAGGCUUUGAGCCUUUGGAGUAAGUUGGUCCUUCUCUUUCAUUUCUAUUAUAUAAUGAAUCUGUCUUUUUUGUUUCGGAAUUGUCAGGGGGCGGCCUCGCAGUCCUUUAGACGAAUUUUCAGGAUGUUUACUCAAAGUUAUAAACCUCAGCUUGUGGCUCUUUGUGAACCCCGGAUUAGUGGAGUGAAAGCGGAUGAUUUUAUUCGUCAUAGUGGGUACGAUUAUUCCCAUCGUGUGGAGGCGGCUGGUUUCUCAGGUGGAAUUUGGCUUCUAUGGAAAGCGGGUUUAGAUGUCACCAUCCUCAUUAACCAUAGGCAAUAUAUUCACCUCCAAGUGUCGGAUAAAAGAGGGUUAAUUACCUGGGUCACAGCGAUUUAUGCUAGCCCUGUUCCUUCUCUCCGAAACUCUCUUUGGAAUGAUAUAAAUUAUUUGGCUGAGAAUAUUCAGGGUCCUUGGUUGCUAGCAGGUGACUUCAAUGCUAUUCUUUCAAUCUCAGAGAGUAAAGGAAGCACUAAUAACCGUAGCCAGCCUUGUAAAAAGUUUCAAGAGUGGUUCCACAAACACGGCCUCUGCGACCUCCAUUAUACGGGGCCAAAAUUUACUUGGAAAAGAGGUUCCCUUUAUAAGCGCUUAGAUAGAGCCAUUUGCAAUGAUAGGUGGUUCAACACUUUUAACAAGGCGCGAGUCUUUCAUUUACCAAGAUUGGGGUCUGACCAUCGUCCGAUUCUCCUAAGUUUGAAUGAUGAGAGUAUUGGAAACAUAGGGGUGAAACCUUUUCGUUUCCUUGCUUCUUGGCUCAUUGACAAGCGGUUCUCGGGCUUUGUUUCUCAGGUGUGGAAGAAGGAUGUGGAUUAUACUGUUUCGGUAAAGGAGUUUACUGAAAAAAUUGACCAUUGGAACAAGAAUGAGUUUGGAAACAUCUUUCAGCGGAAAAAAAAUAUCUUAGGUCGAUUAAAUGGAAUCCAAAAAGCGCUAGAGAGUCACCAUUCGGAUAAUCUAGUAAAGCUGGAGACUCAGCUCAGCAAGGAGCUUAACGACAUUCUUAAUCAAGAAGAACUCUUGUGGGUUCAGAAAUCGCGAUGUGAUUGGAUCCAGUUUGGAGACAGAAAUACUUCUUUUUUCCACCAGAGGACAAUGACGAGGAGAAGACAUAACCACAUUGUCUGGAUGAAAGAUGAUAGGGGCCAGUGGAUUUCGGAUGAGGAUGAGCUUAAGGCUCAUGCUAUCAAUUUUUUCACCAAGUUAUACAUGGCUGAUAAUAAUUCUAUUGAGAGCUAUUAUACCCCUAAUGAUUUUCCUUGCAUUGAUACAGGGAGGAACCAUGACAUGGAGAAACCAGUGGAUGACGAGGAAAUUCGUGACAUUAUUUUCAGCAUGAAACCAUUAAAGGCACCGGGGAGUGAUGGCCUGCACGCUAUUUUCUACCAAGCUCAAUGGGAGGUGGUGGGAAAGUCGGUUUGCAAACAAAUCAAAGAUGUUUUCAAUGGAGAGACAGUGCCUGAAGAUUUCUUGAAGAUUUUAAUCGUUCUUAUUCCUAAAAUUGACAAUCCAACUAGUUUAAAUUCUUUUCGACCUAUUAGUCUUUGCACAAUUAUGUAUAAAACGAUCACUAAGAUUAUCGCUAAUAGAUUAAAAACUUUUCUCCCUGACCUUGUAGGUUCGCAUCAAACGAGCUUUGUUCCAGGAAGGCAUAUCACCGAAAACAUUAUUAUCGCCCAGGAGGUUAUUCACAGUAUGAGACGGAAGACGAGCAAACGAGGCUUUAUGGCUAUCAAAGUAGAUUUGGAGAAAGCUUAUGACAGAUUAAGUUGGGAGUUUAUCAAGGAGACUUUGGAUUUUGUGGGUCUUCCUACAAAUUUUAUACGAAUCAUAAUGGAGUGCAUCACUUCCGGCUCCAUGCAAAUUCUUUGGAAUGGCAAGCUGACCGAAUCAUUCAAGACUUCUAGAGGGAUUCGUCAGGGGGAUCCAAUCUCUCCUUACAUUUUUGUGCUAUGUAUUGAAAGACUCAGCCAUCUCAUUAACCGAGAAGUGCAGCAGAAUCGAUGGAAACCCAUAAGGCUGUCCCGGAAUGGUAUACCCUUUACCCAUCUUUUCUUUGCUGACGACCUUCUUCUCCUUGCAGAAGCCUCCUCUGAUCAAGCGAAGGUGGUGAUCAAAACUUUGAAGAAUUUCUGUAACAUGUCUGGAGAGAAAGUUAGCACAGAAAAAACUCAUUUAUAUUUCUCAAAAAAUGUGGCUCCUGCGGUGUCAAAGGAAAUUAGUGAGCUAAGUGGGUUCUCAACCUCCAAAGACUUGGGGAAGUAUUUGGGUAUGCCGCUUCUUCAUGGUCGGGUGACCAAUAAAACCUAUCAGGAGGUCCUAGAUCGUGUAGAUAAACGGCUCUCAGGAUGGAAUGCUAAGCACCUCUCUUUUGCUGGAAGGCUGACCCUCACUCAAGCGGUAAUCCAAGCCUUGCCAAUUUACUCUAUGCAAACCACAAUGAUUCCGCGAGGCACUCAAGAAAAAAUCAAUCGCAUUUCUCGCCGAUUUAUAUGGAGUGGAAAUAAUGAAAGGAAUAGCAUGGCCAUGGCUAGCUGGGAAAGAAUCUGUCAACCCAAAAUGGUAGGAGGGCUUGGCUUAAAAAAUCUUCGCUACAUCAAUGAGGCGCUGUUGAUGAAGAUUGGGUGGAAUAUUGUUGUGUCCCCUACCAGCCUGUGGAUUAAAGUGUUAUGCUCUAAAUAUGGAGUUGAGAACGAUAACCUCCCCACAGAGUUACCUACAAGAUACGGUUCUUAUGUGUGGCGUGCUGUGGGCACGGUGUGGAAUAAAGUCUUGCAGGGGAUUUGUUGGCAAGUUGGAGAUGGGUCAAAGGCUCGUUUUUGGAAAGAUUGUUGGGUUAUGCAAAAUGUAAGGUUGAAGGAUUAUGCUGUGAUGCCGGUGUCGAGCAAUAUGCUGGAAAACUCGAUCAGGGACUAUGUGAACGAUCAUGGGCAAUGGAACUGGAAUGUUUUUAGCAAUUAUCUUCCUCACAGCUUAGUGCUUGCUAUUGCUGCCAUUAUGCCUCCUUGUGUCGAGGGGGGUAUGGACCGCAUAUUUUGGGGCUUCUCGACUAAAGGAAAUUUUACAGUGAAAUCAGCUUACCAAAAUAUUUCAAGCCGAGUCUCCAGCAAUAUUGGACCAAGAUGGGAUCUUAUUUGGAGCUGGAAAGGGCCCCAAAGUGGAAAAACUUUCAUGUGGUUGGCUAUUCAAAAAAAAUUAAAGACUAAAGCUGAGCUUGCUAGAAGACAUAUUUUGGCAGAAAACAAUUGUGAGAGAUGUAAAGUUUGCGUGGAAGACUCGCUUCAUGCCCUUAGAGAUUGUGUGGUAGCCAAGCGUAUUUGGUUAGACAUAGUCCCGUGUAGCUUACGUGGAAGUUUUUUCUCUUUAAAUUUAGAGGAUUGGAUUCUUACUAAUCUAAAGCCUAACUGUUAUGAUUGUAAUGGAGUGGACUGGUCGGGAAUUUUUGGCACGGCAAUCUGGCGGUUGUGGUUUUGGAGGAACCAAGCUCUGUUUAAGAAAGUACAGAGGAGCAGUCAAAGCAUCACUUUAGAUAUUAUGACCAGAGCUGAAAAUGCCCAUAAAACCAUGAUGGCCUUGAUCAAGCCUGGAGCUUCAAAGAUGGUUAAAUACUUUGGGUGGAAACCUCCUCCUGAAAAUGUCUUCAAAUUGAAUACUGAUGGGGCCUGCAAAAAGAUGAACAUGGCAGCUGCAGGGGGCUUGAUAAGAAAUGCAAAUGGGAUCUGGAUUGCUGGAUUCUGUACGAACAUUGGAAUUAGUUCGGUUACAAAUGCUGAGCUUUGGGGUUUAUUCUAUGGUCUUGACCUGGCUUGGAAGAUGGGAAUUCGGUCUUUGUUGGUUGAAGUUGACAGUAAGUGCAUCACUGAGCUUCUUGCAGACACGAACAAUAACCCAAGCAAAUUUUCUUCUGUGAUUCAAAGUAUCCGAAGGCUCAUAAAUAGAGAAUGGCAUGUGUGCAUUAGCCACAUUUACCGCGAAGCAAACUUUGCAGCGGAUUUUCUUGCAAAUUUCGCAAUGAGGCAACCUCUUGGUUUUCAUGUCCUCCACAACCCUCCGAAUGGUGUUGUUAAUUGUUUAACUUAUGACAUGUACGGGAAUACUUUCCCACGUUUUGUUUCGGUUUAGCCUUGUUUGGCUCCCUUUUAUAUCAAAAAAAAAAAAAACAUUUGAUACGUUAUUGUUAUUGGAGGAUACAAAUGUUGCUAAUCCCAAAAAAAGCCCCUAAACUUAUUUCUCUCUUUUUAACGUUUAACGAACUUUGGAUCUCGCGGGAAAAUCCCUCCAACGUGGCGACCUACAAUUGGCUACUCUACGUGUUUGAUUAAAGUCCGAUUCUAAUUUUGAGUUCUUGUGAGAUUUGACGAAAGAACUCAUCAUGUUAAGUAUGUCUUAGGAUUUAAUAUAGAUAAGGAAUCCUAGUCCUUGAAUGCUGCGGCCGGCAAGCAAAAGCAACGUGUUUCAUCAUCAUUGGCUCGACUACUAUAGCAAAGAACAAAGGACACAAACACUAUAAAUAGCUCGCCCCUUCAAGCUCGUUUCGCUCCACUUGAAAACAGAGAAAGCAGAGGAAACGCUUCAUAAAAGCAGCCAAAAAAACAAAUCCAGAGAGAAAGCACGCGCAAAAGCAAGCAAAACAAUGAAGAUCAAGAACAAAGCAUUAGCUAUCUUUUUUCUCUUUGCUUUACGUAAGUACUUUCCUCUUUCUGUUCUGCUAGAAGAAACCUUUAUCAUCGUAUUUGGUUUUGUUUAUGCUCUGUUCUUUUGGCCGAAUUUUACUCUUUUUUUUUUUUUUUUUUCAGAUUUCUCGUCAGGUUUAGCUGCAGCGGAUGAUACUACAACGAAGCUAAGGACGGUGAUUGGCAUUGAUCUAGGGACUACGUAUUCUUGUGUGGGUGUAUACAGAAACGAUCAUGUAGAGAUUAUAGCGAACGACCAAGGCAACAGAAUCACCCCGUCAUGGGUUGCAUUCACUGAUACUGAACGUCUGAUUGGGGAAGCCGCCAAAAAUCAAGCGGCCCUCAACCCAGAGCGUACGAUCUUUGAUGUGAAGCGCCUCAUCGGGGGAAAGUAAGCAGUCACACACCCUGUUUUAGUUUACGAUAGUUUAUUGUUGGUGUGUGUUUGGAGGCGAUUUUGUGCUUGUCUGGUAAUAGAGUUAAAGCUGUUUUUAAGUAAUUCUCUAAAAAAGCACUUUUAAACUCGCUUGUUUGCUUUUGAUGCUGUAGGUUUGAUGAUCCUGAGGUGCAAAGAGAUAUGAAGUUCUUGCCUUAUAAGGUUGUGAACAAAGGUGGCAAGCCUUAUAUUCAAGUGAAAGUGAAAGGAGAGACCAAGGUCUUUAGCCCUGAGGAGAUCAGUGCUAUGGUGCUUCAAAAGAUGAAGGAAACAGCUGAGGCAUUCUUGGGGAAGAAAAUUAAAGACGCUGUCGUUACCGUUCCAGGUACAUAUACAUAUUACCGUUCUUGUUCUGUACUGUUUGCAUAUCUUGUAUUGUAGUCUAAUGGGUGUCUUUUUGGUUGUUGAUUUUAGCUUAUUUCAAUGACGCGCAAAGGCAGGCAACGAAGGAUGCAGGGGUCAUAGCCGGGCUCAAUGUGGCUCGGAUAAUCAAUGAGCCCACAGCCGCGGCUAUUGCCUAUGGUCUCGACAAGAAAGAGGGAGAGAAGAACAUUUUGGUCUAUGAUCUUGGUGGUGGUACAUUUGACGUUAGUAUCUUGAAUAUUGACGAUGGUGUGUUUGAGGUUCGUGCCACACGCGGAGACACUCACUUGGGAGGAGAGGACUUCGAUCACAGAGUCAUGGACUAUUUCAUUAAGUUGAUUAAGAAAAAGUACAGCAGAGAUAUAAGCAAUGAUAACAAGGCUCUUGGGAAGCUUCGAAGGGAAUGUGAGAGGGCCAAGAGAGCUCUGAGCAGCCAGCAUCAAGUCAGAGUGGAGAUUGAGUCACUCUUUGACGGUGUUGAUUUCUCGGAGCCAUUGACAAGAGCAAGAUUCGAAGAGUUGAACUUGGACCUGUUCAAGAAGACAAUGGGGCCUGUGAAGAAGGCAUUGGAAGAUGCCCGGUUGAAGAAAACUGACAUUGAUGAGAUUGUACUUGUCGGAGGAAGUACUCGAAUCCCCAAGGUUCAGCAAUUGUUGAAGGACUUGUUUGAUGGGAAGGAGCCUAACAAGGGCGUCAAUCCAGAUGAAGCUGUUGCAUAUGGCGCAACAGUUCAAGGUGGGAUUCUUAGCGGCGAAGGGGGUAAAGGUAAAGGAUCCACUAUUUUUUUUUUUUAAUCUUCUCUUUUAUCAGGAUGCAAUUGAUUAAUUAGAAUAGCUAAGUAUACAAAGCUUUUUGUUUGCUGCAGACCUUCUAUUGCUGGAUGUGACUUCCUUGAGUCUUGGUAUUGAAACAGUGGGUGGUGUUAUGACCACGCUAAUUCCCCGGAACACUGGUAUCCCCACUAAGAAAUCUCAGGUUUUUUCCACUUACCAAGACCAGCAAAGCACAGUGACUAUUAAGGUAUAACAAGUGAUUUGCAUGAUUGCAUACGCGGAUAAACUGAUGCUGCACAUUCAUUCUUUCUACUUUUGAACUAACAUGUACUUGAAAAUUGAAAUUAAAAUUCAGGUGUACGAAGGUGAAAGAAGCUUGACAAAGGAUUGUCACGAGCUUGGACGAUUCGAUCUAUCUGGCAUUCCACCUGCUCCAAGGUAAAUUACAUUUCAAUAUAUGCAUUCGAUUGGUUGAAGAUUGAUCUGGAUACUUAACAUGUUCUAAAUGUUGUUACAGGGGAGUUCCUCAAAUUCAGGUCACAUUUGAUGUUGAUGCCAAUGGUAUCCUACAUGUGACAGCUGAAGACGAGGCAGCGAAGAACAAGCAAUCCAUCACCAUAACCAAUGAUAAGGGCCGUUUCAGCGAGGAAGAGAUUCAGAGGAUGGUGAAGGAGGCUGAGGAAUACGCGGAGGAGGAUAAGAAUGCGAGGGAGAGGAUUGAUUCCAGGAACAAGUUGGAAAGUUACAUCUACAACAUGAGGAGCACCAUCAACGAAAAAGAUAAUCAUAAGCUUGCUGACAAGAUCGAUUCUGAUGAUAAGGAGAAGAUCGAGAGCACACUGAUGGAAGCUCUUGAAUGGUUGGAUGACAAUCAGAAUGCCGAGAAGGAUGAUUUUGAUGCGAAGCUGAAGGAGGUGGAAGCUGUAUGCAAUCCUGUGAUCAAAGAGGUUUAUGAGAAGAGUGGGGGGAGUUCGUCACCUGCUGAUUAUUCAGAAGAUGAAGAACCAGAUGAUGAGCUGUAAAAACCUUGGGGAUUCAAUUUUCUUUUGUUGCCUUUUUAUUUUUUUUGUUUAUUUUGCCAUGUUGUCAACUAAUUUCCCAGAGAUACCAUAAAUGUUAUUCUAAUAGUUACCAUCAAUUUUUCUGAAAUGACUUUUAAUUGUUUAAAUCUAUUUGUGAUUGUACUGAUUUCUUAUAUUUACAAGCACAUAACAAUAUUGAACCAAAAUGUUAUUAAGAAUUCUGAUGCCUUUACAAAAAAAGAAAAAGAAAAAAGAAACAGAAGCAAGUUAAAUAAGCAAAAGCAAAAGUAGACAGAGACUAGCUAAUAAAUUGCAGCAGCUAAUGAAUAAUCUUCAAGCAUUAAAGAAGUCGAUAAGCAUGGAAACUGAAGCUUCAGAGUGAGGCAACACAAGUGAAUGAGAUUUCAUUGCUUGUAUGAAAGCAGAGACUUUCCCAGCGUCAAGAAAGUUAUUGCUGUGUUCUUUAGCUUCAACGGCCUGGCUGCUGCUGCUACUACUGCUGCUUGAUUCAACAACAUUAAUAAUAUUGUGGUGGCUGGAGCCAUUAUCAUUUCCCCAAAUGGUUAGACCCUUUUCACGCAGCUUGGCUAACUCACUUGUCCAUAUAUCCACAAGUGCAGACAUUAUUGUUGCUAAUUAAAUUUUGAAGAAGAUAUCUUGAGUUAAUGUUUUUGAUUGUAAGAUGUUUUGAGAUAUCAAGAUUUUGAUGGCUGAAUGGGGUUUAUAAAGGCUAUGAUCAAUUGUUGGUUUUGUUUCGAUUUUCAACGGCGCACAAAUUUUGUUGUAUAGAGCGAUCAAGUUCACAUGUCUCUUUCCUGUGGGCAUUAGCCUUUAAGAUGAAGUAAUUUAAAUAUAUCAUUUUCGAUGGGGACAUGGGCAUGCCUCAAUACCGCAGCAAAGUUAGUGGUAUGUGUCAAUUUUAAAAUUGUAUAAUAAUUUCAAGAUAAUCAAAGUGGCUAAAACCAAUGUCCAUCACUCUCUUAAAUCCUAUGUGGGUUACAAAAUUCACUCCAUUUUCUUUUAAUAUAAUUGUUAGCGAAAAUAUUUCAAAAGGUUUCUUAGACUAUUACAUGAUGGGCACCCAAAAUCAAUUUCAAGUUUUGCCUAUAGAGUGAGAAUUUUGAUAUCUUUUGAAAUCCUUAUAAAACUUUUCUAUUAAAACCUUAUUUAAUAUUAAGGUGUUGUAUUUUUUAAACUAUAAUUAUUGUAAAAAAAUUAUAACUUAAAAGUAAAAGUUAAUAUUGUAUCGUAAAUAUGAUUCACAAAUAGUGAAUCAAAUCAACUUUAUUUUUAAGCUACAAUAGUAAAUGCUGUAAUUUUUAAGCUAUUGCCCCUCAAUCUCUAAACCAAAUAAGGCUUAAGUGUGUUCCAUUAACGUUACAUAAGUAACCCACUCAUAAAUAUACCCAUUUUUAUUCUACAAAUAUCCUUCAUUCUUAUGUCAACAGGUGAAAAUGAUUCUGAUUCUCUCUCCAUCCACAUAAUAUUUUUAGAAAGAGUAAUGAUACAGCCACAAACUCUUGUACAAACUUAUUUUGUACAAACUGACGUGGCAUUAAUUCAUUGGUUGAAUGAAAAUAUAAAUUAAUAAAAACAAAUCAUGUAGGCCAAGUGGUAUUUAAUUCAACCAAUCUUAUCAUGCCACAUCAGUUUGUACAAAAUAAGUUUGUACAAGAGUUUGUGGCUGUAUUAUUACUCUUUUAGAAAUAAUCGUCAAUACAAACCUCACUUACACUAUAUUUGAACCAAUCGAAAUUGUGAGGCCCUCCUUUCCUUGCAUUAUCUGAUUUUUGGCAUCUCAUCUACCUAAGUCUUUUUUUUUUUCUUUUUUUAUCCUUUUCCUUUGAUCAACGGAAAUCUUAAAAAAAGAAAAACGGGACGUUCACUGUUUUGUAAAGCAAUUUUCGAGGGUAAAAAUAUCAAUAUAUCUAGAAUUGGGACUUUAAAAGGAUUAUAGAGGGGUGGUAAUAGCACCACUCUUACCUAAAAUGAAUUAGGCCCAAUGGUUUCUCUCAUCCAAGAUCUUGUUUUAUUAUUAUUAAAAAGGCUUGGAAACCUUACCCGUGACAACCCCGUCACAAAAUUACCCUAUUACAGGAUUCUGCUAGCUAAGUCCUGAUUUGUUUUCUAUCGAUCAUUCAGUGAACAAAUAAUUGAACACGUGUCCAAUGUUGGUGCCCAAAGUUGAAAUGAGGGCUAAUGAAUUUUCUUUUUUUCAGUUUUUUUAAUAUUCUUUCAUUGGGAUAACUAUAUUUAUUUAUUGUUAUUGCAUUUGUGAACAUUGCUUUAUUUUUUUUUCUUAUAAGUUAUGUGCUCUAUAAUCCCAUUCUAUUUCAUAUGACACGUGUUAAUUAAAUUUUCUCCUUAGGCAGAGUUUAGAUUUUGGUUUAGUUAAUGUUUUCAAUUAAAAUCAUUAAUUAUAAAAAUCUUAAGAUUCAAUGCGAAAAAAAUACUGCCUGUAUAUAUAUCUUCACAUAUUUGUGAACUCAUAAAAAUCUCUUUAACGUGAUAUUGCUUUUAAUUCCAUGCAAAUCAAAUUUUCUAGAUUAAAGUUUAUUCACAUCAAUGACAAAAAAUUAACUCUAUGAUUUAAUUUCCCCAUUACCAUGAUGUUUAUCUUUUCUAUCGGAUUAUUAUUACUUAACAAAGUCUUUAAAAUGUCGAUAUACAUUUUUCACCAGGGCAAAAUUUGUUCACUAGUAAGUGGUAAAAUUUAAUUUGAUUCAUGAUUUAGCUUCUUUUAGUUUGCUGAUUAAUUGUGUGAUUUCAACGAUGUUAAUUUUUUUUUCUCCAUUGAAACUCCAUCGUAGGAACCAGAUGAAGAUUCUGUUUGAGAUUGAGAUACUGUAACUUUUAAGUUACAACUGUUAAGGAAAAAAAGCUGAAACUAUGAAAUAAAAAUUAGUAGUAUAUAGUAAACAUAAACUUUAAAUAAUAAUUUUGAAAAAAUUAUUAAAGAUAUAAUAGAUUUUCUAUCAUACAAGUGAAAAAUCAUAUUAAGUGAAAAAUCAUAUUAACAUAUCUUCCAAUCUAAAGCAGCUAAUGUUUAUCAAACACUUUAAUGCUGUAACUUUUAAGCUACAAUUGCCCAACCUUAAUUUCAAACGGAUCCGAAAUCAAUGAUAUCGAAUUGGCUACACAGCUUUCUGCUCUUGAUCUCAAUGUGGACGGAAAAAAGCAUGGAGAAGUUGCUAACUAAUAACUUUUUUUUGCUAAUUAAUAUUUUUUUUAGCUAAUGAAAACAUUAGCUAAUUAAUUAAUCAUUAUAUAUAUGCAGUCACAGAUGAAAUGAAGAACUUGCUAGAGCUAUCAUAGAAAGCCUCAAAAUCAUCUUCAAAUUCAAAAGGCAGUGAAUUAUUGGAAAAUUAAGAUAAAUUUUUUGAUAAAUUGAAGAAUUUUUCACUAUUAAUUAUUAACUAAAAGUUAAUUUUACAUGAAAUUUUUGAAUGUAUGACUUCACAUUAAUUGAUUAUUCCACGUCUUGGUUCACGUCUAGAGAAGCUCUGGUACAAUAGAUUGUGAUAUUUGCAAUAAGGAGGUAAGUACAUAUAUAACAAAGACUGGUGGGGUCUAAGUGUCAUUUUCCUAAAAUUAAUUUGUUUCGGUUCAAAUUUCAACAAUACUAAAAUAUGGGCAAAAUUAUGUUGCAACAGUAGUAUGGUACCACAGUUGCAACCAGCCAUUGGAUUUAUAGUUGUACAAUUGUAUUAGCAAGAUCCAAUGGCUGAAAGCAACAGUGAUACUGUACCACUGUUGCAACAUAGCUGGAUCCCUAAAAUAUUAUUACGUUUUCAAACAGUUAUAGCCAAGCAUGAAUUAUUGUGACCAUGAGCUUUGGAAUCUGUGUUUUUGCUACGGCCAUUUUAGUGAUGGAAAAUGCUGAGUCUCAAGAAGAACAAGAGAAAGAUGAGAGAAUAAAGCAUGUGCUGAGAGAAGAGAGAGAGAGAAAAAACUGACAGAAGAGAGAGAGAGGAGGCAAAACAGCAGCUUGGAUUGUAGUUUCUCUUGUUCUUCUUGAUAUUUAGUAGCACUCGAUGGGACUCAUGUCUGCUGUGGAUGCAUUUGAGUCUUAAUAAGUUGACGACUUAAAUUUGGGUGCAUUUGAUUGAAGAUGUAUGUAUGUAUGUAUGUAUAUAAAAGACGCAUAUACACUUCAAAAAUUUUAAAAAAUAAAAAAUGUUUCUAUUUUUGACUUCGUAUUAAAAGCAAAACAUAUACAAUAAAAUUUAAGAUUUAAAUCUUGUUCAUACCAAAGUUAAUUUUAAUAAAAAUAAAAUUCUCUAAGUAGUGUAGCGAUCGAAUUUACAAUAUUUUUAUCUAGGUGAUGGUCGAACAAUCAGGACUGGUUGUUAUUCUACAUCGAUCAAAUACACACAACCAAUUGAACCUCUUCUAAAUAAUGUGCUGCGAUGAAAAAGGCAUGAAAAUUGAGGAGCAAGUUCCCGUUUUCUCGGUUACAAGAAUUAAGAUGAGGAGACAUGCAAGUCAAGGCUUGGGGUAACUAUUUCAAUAUAUAUAAAUGAUUUUAUUCAUUUCUUUUUGCAUUAUUUUACGUGGAAAGAAUUUAAAGUCAUUAUAUUAAUUCAAUUAUGCCAAAAUAAAAAUCUAUUAUUGAGGUGUAAUACUUUUACAGGUUAACUAGAUUUUUUUCUUUUUUGGUCUUUACCGCAUAUAAAUGAUUUAUGAUUAAUGUUGGAGUCAAUACUAUUCUUUCUUUUCUUGUUUAGCAUCCUAGUGGAUUCUAUUCCAAAUUAAAGUAUUUAUUUAAAACUGAAUUAUAUAUGUAUUGACCUCUUACUUUCAUUAAAAGAGAAAAAAAAUUGAAUUAGUAUUUCGAGAUUUGGAGCUAAUACUUGCAUAUGUUUGUAUAUAUUUUGCUCUAAAUGAAGGAAAUAUUUUCGAAAUUUACUUAAACCAUUAUCUACUACUUGUGGAAACAGCCUAUUCAUCCAAAUGCCAUUGUAUUUGGACUAACUCAUGUACUUCCAUAUGGUAGUGUCGAUCUCCGAAGCGCAAGUAACUUUAUCAAUUUAUUUUUUCUUUAAUUUCUUGAAAUUGGUAUACAUAUGUAGAUGUCAUCUUAUUCAAAUGCUUGUAAACGAACUUGAAUUGAAACCAUAAAAAAAAAAAAAAAACAGUGUUACUUGAUAACAAUCAAAUGAUGCUUUGGAUUAACUUUUCUUGCAUUUAAUAAUGCUCCCUCAUUUUGUCGAGGUAACUUUUUUUUUGAAAAAAUGUUACGUGGGUUUAGCAAAGAAUUAAAUAAAAGGAUGAUAUAAAAAAAUGAGACAAAGAGAAUUUACGUGAUUUAGCACUUGGUUUAUGUCCAUGAGUACUAUAAAAAGAGUAAUUUUUCACUAUUGAAUUAAAAUUAUAACAAAGUAUUUUUUUUUUUGGUCAAACUACUUGCUCGUGCCCCCCUAUGCAUCAAGUGUUCUUUAUUUAUAAUACAAUUCCAAUUUCCUAAGUUCUCCACGAUUCCUUGUUUUGAUCGGCUUUUAUUACUUAAUUUAGAGUAUCGUCCAAUAUCAGUAUUAUCUCCAUCUAAACUUGAGCUUUAUCUAAUAUUAAUACUUAUUUUCAGCACUUUCUCCCUUUUUAAUUGGGUUUAGGUUUCAGGAGCUUGUAGAUUCUUUUACUAGUCUUAGAUAAUGCUUCCAACUACCUAAUCCUAAUUGUUGGAUUCAGUAGCUAGGCAUUUUUUUAAUUAUACUCACCUCCCAUAGUUGAUCUCUCAUGCUAUCAUGUACCCGAGCUUAAUUGACUUUUUAAGCUUCCUAUUGAGCUUGCAUGCUCCCAUUCUCACAUGCUCUUAUGCUCAUGUGCUCGCAUGCUCACAUGCUCUCAUGCUCUCAUACUCUCAUGAAGCUGAGUUUAAUUGACUUAUUAAGCUUCCUAUUGAGCUUGCAUCUCUCAUGGUCUCAUGCUUUCAUGCUCUAAUGCUAGCAUGCUUAUAUGCUCUCAUGCUUUCAUGUAGUUGAGCUUAAUUGACUUAUUAAGUUUUCUAUUGAGCUCUCCUGCUCCCAUGCUCACUUGCUCUCAUAGUCUCAUGCUCACAUUAUUUGACUGGUUACAUUUCUUCUUAGAACAAUAUUAAAAUAUAAUUUUUAUUUUAUUUUAAUUGAAUCCGUAUUUUAAAAGAUGUGGACAAUUCUUAUUAUAAGAUAACCGCUAGAUUAAUAUUAGCACCGCAAUCCUAACGUCACCGGAAUAAUUUCACAUGCGUUAAAAUGUGGGAAAGUAAGAGAAUUCUUUAAAAUCCUGCUGUUUUAAAGUGUUAAUUUCAUAAUGUUUUAAAACCGUGCGAUUUUAAAAUUUUCUCGUACUUUCUCGCAUUUUAAAAUUCUGGACUAGGAAACUACUAUAUAUAUAUAUGUGAGUGUGUGUAUGUAUAUAUAUACAUAAAAUUCUUCACUAAGGGGAAGACACACACACACACACACACACAAGCUCUUCACUAAGGGCAAGACAAGUUAUUUUGGAGGAAAAGGAUUAUCAAGUAACUGGACCCAAAGCGCGACAACAAUGGCUCUAUAUGGUUUGCCCAUGUAAAUACUAUAUCCGUCUUAACUUUACUAAUUUAACCUUAACUAAGUUUUUUUGAAGUGUAUAUAUAAUUGUCAUCGUACAGACAAUUAAUUAAUUGAAUGUUUGUAAAAUGUACUCGAUAUUUCAUUAUUUUAAUUUUUGAGAAUCAAACUUACAGGUACAUGACUGGCGGGGUUUUGGCUCAUGAAAUGAUGCAUGCAUGGUUUGGAAUUCAAGGUCAGACUUAAUAAUAUUAUUAUUAACUUCAUAGCAACUAGGGAUUCAGCUAAUAUGACAUAGAAAGCAUAUAGGAUAGAAUAAAUUAGGAAUUCUAGAUUUUGUGUCAAUUUUUUAUUUUAUUAGGAUUUAUCUUAUUUUAAUAAGCUUAUUUGAGUCAUAUUUGUAAUUCUAGUCUAAUUAGGAUUUUAGAUUAUUUCUUUCAUUUGAGAAGUAUUGGGAUGAAGUUAGCAAUAAAAAUAUAUAGGCUUGUUAUUAAUAGUUUAUUGUAACAUUUUUAAGCUUUUCAUCAAGAAAUAUUUUAGAUUAUUCUCCUUUAGUUUAUCUUUUUCGUUAAUUCAACGUUUUCUCUCUUUGAGAGCUAUUAUUUCUUGAGUUUCAAAAACGUAUAAUAGAACGAUAUCCAAUGUCGGUUUCAGACAAGUGGCAUCAGGGCCUUUCUCUAUGUCAAGCUGCGCUUUCAUAAUCAUCAACUACAUACACAAAUCCUUCCUCUGUCAUCCAUUAAAUCCACCGAUUCCACCAAUUCCUAUAUGCUUCCUACAUCAUAAUGAAAUGAUGCAUGCAUGGUUUGGAAUUUAAGGUCAGCCUUAAUAAUAUUAUUAUUAGCUUCAUAGCAACUAGGGGUUUAUCUAACGAAAUGAUGCAUUCAUGGUUUGGAAUAAUCCAAGGUCAGCCUUAAUAAUAUUAUUAUUCGCUUCAUAGCAUCUAGGGUUUAAGCUAAUGAAAAAAUGAUGCAUGCAUGUUUUGGAAUUCAAGAUUAGCCUUAAAAAUAUUAUUAUUAGCUUCAUAGCAACUAGGGUUUAAGCUAAUGAAAGAUGCGUGCAUGGUUUGGAAUUCAAAGUUAGCCUUAAAAAUAUUAUUAGUUUCAUAGCAACUAGGGGUUUAUCUAACGAAAUGAUGCAUUCAUGGUUUGGAAUAAUUGAAGGUCAGCCUUAAUAAUAUUAUUAUUAGCUUCAUAGCAACUAGGGUUUAAGCUAAUGAAAAAAUGAUGCAUGCAUGGUUUGGAAUUCAAGGUUAGCCUUAAAAAUAUUAUUAUUAGCUUCGUAGGGUUUAAGCUAAUGAAAUGAUGCAUGCAUGGUUUGGAAGUCAAGGUCAGCCUUAUAAUUAUUAUUAACAUUUAUUAGCUUAGUAACCAUUAAAUUCGAUUCCUCUCUAUCAUUACUUGCCCCGACUCUUUCUCUCUCAAUCUGUGAAUCUCUCAUCAUGUCGACGACUCUGCAAUUCUGCCGUCUAUGCACGCGUACUGACACAGCUUCGCGCCAUAAUAAUCGCGCCAGAGUGCUGGCUCUCCGGCGCCGGCAGCCUGUGAACGUCAGAAGCUCCGGUCAAGAAUUGCCGAGCUCGGCGGUGGCUGUUGGUGCCGAAUUUGACGCGAAACAAUUUCGUCAUAACCUGAUGAGAAGUGAUAAGUAUAAUCGGAGAGGAUUUGGCCACAAAGAAGAGACUACGGAGCUCAUGAAUCAACAGUACGCAAGUAAGAUUUUCAUUUUUUUCUGUUUAAAUCAAUUUUUUUACUGGAUUUUCUUUUGUUUAUUCAGUAGGACAUGAAAUUGUUGUUACUUAAAUUUCUUUAUUUUAGCUAAUUAUUCAGCUUAGUUUUAAAUGGAUAGAUUCAGGAAUAAAAAUAAAAAUAAAAAAUCAAAGAAAUUUGUGUGAUUUUUACUUCCUCUGCUUGCUAUUCAAUGACCUUUUUUUUUUUGGUUUUUACCAUUUCAUUUAAGAAAGCUGGAUCAAUCAAUGAUUUAUCUUUUGUUGGACUCAUCAUCAGUUUGUGAAUAACAAAUGUUUAGAGAGAUUUGGUGAAAUCAAGUGUUUCUAUUUGGCGUUGGUGUUAUUGUGGUGAUGAUUAUUUUAUUGAUUUCAUUGAAAAUUCUUUCAGGUGAUAUUAUAAAGAAAUUGAAGGAGAAUGGAUACGAGUAUACGUGGAGAAAUGUUACGGUGAAGCUGGCCGAAGCAUAUGGCUUUUGCUGGGGAGUUGAGCGUGCUGUGCAGAUUGCAUAUGAAGCAAGAAAACAGUUUCCCGAUGAGAAGAUCUGGAUCACCAGUGAAAUCCUUCACAGUCCACCCAUCAAUAAGGUCUUUAAAAAACAAAACCAAUACUUCUUUUAUAAUAUUUUUAAUUUAAAUAUUUUUGCGCCCUGCUGUUUGUUAAGUUGAUCAUUUACUCAUUUUCAUGGUUAUGGAUUGUAAAGAGUAGAUCUGUAUUGAUGAAACUGUUACGCUCUUUGUUUCAAUCAUGAUUUGAUUCUUUCAUUACUAUAUCCUACUAAAAUGAUUACUGAGGCUCUUAAGUCAUACAUGGCAGCGGUUGGAGGAGAUGGAAGUUAAAAAUAUACCUGUUGAGGAAGGAAAGAAGCAAUUUGAUGUCGUAAAUAAGGGUGAUGUUGUGGUUUUGCCUGCAUUUGGGGCUGCAGUUGAAGAAAUGGUGACUCUGAAUGACAAGAAUGUACAGAUCGUUGAUACAACUUGCCCUUGGGUGUCGAAGGUACCUUUAGCUGAGACAGAUCAGCUGUUAUUAUAAUUAUUCAUUUGCCUGAUUAUAUCUUCAAUCCCUCUUCAUGUUACAUAUUGUAUAUAAGUUUUAAAAUUUUUGUGAAGGUCUGAACUACUGUUGAGAAGCACAAGAAGGGAGACUAUACUUCAAUUAUUCACGGUAAAUAUUCUCAUGAGGAAACUGUAGCAACUGCAUCUUUUGCAGGAAAGUAUAUCAUAGUCAAGGAUAUGAAAGAGGUAUGUUCGGAAGGUGGAUUAUAUUAUAUUUUCUGGAGAAUCUGUAGAGCACUAUUAGGAGAUAUUCAUUAGAAUGUUUUUUUCUUUUCAAUUGUUAUUAUUUAAUCCAGGCUGAGUACGUGUGUGAUUACAUUCUUGGGGGUGAACUUAAUGGAUCUAGCUCAACAAAAGAAGCAUUCCUUGAGGUAUGAGUUUUGUCGCUUACUUGACCGUGAAUGUUGACAAUUUUUGGCGAGUUUUGCAGAUAUUGAUAUAGUUAUUUGCUUGCCUAUAGAAAUUCAAGAAAUCUGUUUCAAAAGGGUUUGAUCCAGACAUUGACCUGCUAAAAGUUGGCAUUGCAAACCAAACUACAAUGAUCAAGGGUGAAACAGAAGAGAUUGGUUAGUUGCACUAAUGCUGAUGUCAACCCAUCUGUUUCCAAGAAAGUUUUGGCUUCUGAUAAUUGAGCAAUUUUUCAUUGUUACAGGAAAAUUAGUGGAGAAGACCAUGAUGCGUAAAUUUGGAGUUGAAAAUGUCAAUGAACACUUCAUAAGCUUCAACACAAUUUGUCAUGCUGCACAAGUAAUUUCUUCUCCGUCAUGGUUUUUCCCUUUCAGAUUUUUAUAAUUUUGUGUCAUAGAUCUUCCUGUCCACUGCAUGUCUUUUAACGCACUUAAUAAAACCCAGAAUGUUCAACUUCGAUAUGCUAAACCUAACAACGUAGUUGACAGUUUGUUUUCAAUGACCGAACUGCUCCGCCAGCAAUACUCAGCCGCUAGUUAAUCUGCAAGUUGUGUACCAUUCUGUUGUGUUCAGUAAAAUUUAAGCUAAUGAUUUUGGUCUCAAUUUUUGCAGGAGCGACAAGAUGCAGUGUAUAAGUUGGUUGAGGAAAAGAUCGAUCUUAUUUUGGUUGUUGGUGGGUGGAACUCGAGCAAUACAUCAAGCCUUCAAGUGAUUGCAGAAGACCGUGGAAUUCCCUCAUACUGGAUCGACAGUGAGAAGAGGAUAGGUCCCGGAAACAAAAUAGCAUAUAAAUUGAUG
rnacentral:lncRNA from 1 species